rnacentral:tRNA from 1 species
AGGCUAAAGCCUCACUAUCAACACCCAAAGCUGAAGUUCUAUUUAAACUAUUCCCUG